rnacentral:rRNA from 1 species
UACGUAGGAUGCAAGCGUUGUCCGGAUUUACUGGGCGUAAAGCGCGCGCAGGCGGCAUGGUAAGUAAGGUGUGAAAUCCAUCUGCUCAACGGGUGGGGUGCACUUUAGACUGCCAAGCUUGUGGUCGGUAGAGGGGGGUAGAAUUGCUGGUGUAGCGGUGAAAUGCGUAGAGAUCAGCAGGAAUACCCGUGGCGAAGGCGGCCCCCUGGGCCGUACCUGACGCUGAGGCGCGAAGGCUAGGGGAGCGAACGGG